rnacentral:tRNA from 1 species
GAAGGUAUAGCUCAGUGGUAGAGCAAAUGCUUAGCAUGCACAAAGUCUUGGGUUCAAUCUCCAGUACCAGUU